CUGAGUUUGAUCCUGGCUCAGAACGAACGCUGGCGGCAGGCCUAACACAUGCAAGUCGAACGGAUCCUUCGGGAUUAGUGGCAGACGGGUGAGUAACGCGUGGGAAGCUACCUUGUGGUAGGGGACAACAGUUGGAAACGACUGCUAAUACCCUAUGAGCCCUAUGGGGGAAAGAUUUAUCGCCAUGAGAUGUGCCCGCGUUAGAUUAGCUAGUUGGUAAGGUAAUGGCUUACCAAGGCGACGAUCUAUAGCUGGUCUGAGAGGAUGAUCAUGCCACACUGGGACUGAGACACGGCCCAGA
rnacentral:rRNA from 1 species